GAAAUAGGAAUAGCAAAACCACAAUUUGCCCUAUAUUAUAUAUGUGCUCAGUUGUUCUAUGGAAUGUCAUUGCAAGGUCAUAGAUAUAAACACCCGAACCCGAACCAUUCUUACUUUCCGCUUCCGCUGUGUCCACUGAUUAUGAUAGACGGCAACAAAAAUAUACAUAAUAUGACAUAAAUUUGAGACUGCGCUAUUCUUGCUAUUUUGUUUGCAUUUUGGAAUGAAGUAUUCAAUUGAAUAUAGUAAACAUAGGCAGUGGCACCGCGCCGAAUUGAGCCGCGCUACACCGCUAACCGGCUAAGGGAAAUUUAAUUUAUUCGUGGCUGUUUUUUGCUUUACCUACCUACCUACAUGGAUUUUUAAAUCUUCGUGUCGAAAGCUAGAACAGUACCGUCAUUAAACGUAACAAUUCUCUUAAUGUGAACAAUGUCAAUUUCUAGGAGUUUAAACAAUUUAUUUUUGGUACAGUAUCUACCUACCAACGCUGAUUCACAUUGGUGUGAGGUUAUUGCAUCACAUUUUUAAUUCUUUUAAAAAGGUACAUAAUUCCUCUUAGUUUCUAAAAGAUUCCUAUCGUCAUAAUAGACAAAUGUUUGUAUAUAUGUAAUACAACUUAUAAUUUCCAAAAUGGUUGAUUCAAUUGUUUAAGAAGUCGAAAAAAAGGCUUCAAGGUCUGAAAAAUCUUUUAGACAAGACAAUAAUAAGCUGUAUGCGAUCGAUUAAAAUAUUGUUUGAAAUAGAUAAACUAUGAAGUGCUGACGUCGUCGUCAUCGAGUAAAUACGCAAGCAAAGAAUAAAAACAGAGAUAAUGAAGUUGUCCCUUGCCGAGCGAUAAGCUUCAACAAUAAAUAUCUCGCAAUCUAAAAUGUAUAAUGUAUGCACGAUAGAUGAGGGCAAUUAAAAUUAUUAAUUUGUUUUUAUUCAAAGAAAAUAUUCCAAGAUCUUGAUCUUUAACUGCUUCAUAUUGUUUUCUUACAUUAAUAUGUAUUUGUUUUUCUAUCGUUUCAAAUGUUUUUUUUGUUUGUUAUUCGUUAAGGAGAUGAAACAAUUUUGACAAUGAGUUAAUCGAUUAAUUUAUUUUCGUAUUAUCUACAAGAACAAGAAAGCAAACAUUUAUAGUAAUAAAAUUUAGAAAAAUUAACAAUGUUUGCCGGAAAUCAAAACAACAUUUUUUAGUAUUUGGUUGUAGUCCCCUAACGUGUUAUUUCAGCUUCCCAUUUUUGUCACUUAUUUGGAUUUAAUAAAUCCCUAACAACUCUCCAAUGGGAUAUUUUACAUGAUCAUGCGGUACCCACUAUAUUUCACAGUUGGAUAAUAUUAUGAAUUUCGAAGACAACAUCGGUAGAAACUUUUUAGACGUUUCUAAGUUCAAAUCCAGUAAUUAAAAAGGCCAAAUUCAUAACGGAAAACUAAUACGUCACUUCCUAAUCAUUAAGACUUGCUCUGCAUAAGACAGCAUGAUUCUCUAACAUGUUGAUCCAUUAUAUUUACGUAAUCGGUAUUUGGGCUUCACAACAUGUUAUAAUAAACAACCCCAUAAAAUAUGCCUGAGCAGUUUUUCUCUUUUACCUGCGGCAAUUUCAGAAUUUUGAGUCGCAUAUUAUCACCGAUGAAAUAAUCAGGAAUUUCUCUUCUCGACAAUACCCAAAAAUAGCAAUUUUGCAUCGAAAUGCCCAGUUAUAAGGCCUACUAAAUAUUUUAGCCAUAAUCCUUGAACAUCCAAAAUUUCUUAUAAGAUUUCCAUUUAGUUCAAUUUUUAACGUAUUAUUAAGUAUUGAGAUUAUUUUUGUAACCGCACAUCAAGAAUGUGGAGUGCUUUAGCUAAGUCUGUUCCGACCAUUCUUCUCUAUUUUUGUGUACACUGAGUUUAAAAUGUAAACAAUUCAAGGAUAUAUUAAACCCGUUUUUUUGACUCUUAGUUAGAAACCAGAGUGAUCUUUAAGAGGCUGGCAUUCUGGUCAUCAUUUGUUUGCAUCAAUUUUUUUCUGUACUAGAGUAGAUUAGUUUAAAUUCCUUAUUUCGAUAUUAAAAUUACAUUAAUUAAAAGCUAAGAAUACAAGGACAUAGCGUUGUUGCCGUCUGCCUGAAUGACAUUUCGGUUUAAAAUAGUUUAACAUCAUGAAAGUUUUUUUUUUGUUUUUUUUUAGUAUAAGAAAAUAAAAACUAUAUUUUUUAGUAAUUUUUCUUAACAAUUUUCAAAUUAAUAUUUAUAAAAAAGAAGAUAAAUAAAACAAUUUUGAAUGAUUUUAUAAUCUUUAAAGUGAUUUCAGACAUCAAUUUUGCCGUGAUUUGAAACACAAAAUCUUUAAAAAAUAAACUUUCCCGUUUUUAAAAACAAUUUUAGAAGAUGAAAACAAGUUCAAUUUUGCCGCGAUUGGAAACACAAAAAAUAUUAAAUUCUCAAUCGCCAUACAUCGGAUACAUGAACGCUCAAAACCUACUUCUUUAAGCUAAAGAAUGUUUGCAAAAUUUAAACAGAUUCGUCCAACUACUCAGCCCGUUAAGAAUGUCAAUAAGUUGGUCCAUAGACAAAAAACUCACCGUCGUAUUUCUUGUAAUAUUGGACAAACUGCUAUGAAAUGAUUUAUAUCCUCCACAUCUCUUCUGUUGCAGGGAUUGCAAAUUUGUGAGGAGUGCGAUCUAUGGGGGACAAAGUUGAGAUUAAGUAUCUCGACUCUAGCUUUAAAAAUGGUGCCGAUAGUUUCCUGAGUCAUUUCUU